CGCACGCGCUGCGCGAUCCAAGGCUACUCACUUUGGAAGGGGGCAGGUCAAAGACGGCCCAAGCUAGGAAAGUUCUGCUUGGCUUUGCUCUUCCAACAUGCUAGUUUACGCAGGGUUUAUUCCUGCUACGAGCAUUUCCUUUAGCCAAGCGUGUUGCUUGAACCCAGCCUUUGAAUUCAAUGGUCGUCAGCCUAAGAAAGGACGACGUUAAUUGGGACGUGUGCAAGGAGACUACCGGCUAAGUAUUUAAUUUGGUGUCAAGGCGACUCUGAGGGUUAACAGAGGAAUCACUCCAUACAAUAUGCUGACAGAUGGCUCCAUGGCACAUCAAAUACCCUGGAUCACAAAAGAGUUAAUCUUCUGACCAUCAGCUUGAAAUGCAUUUAUUAAGUGGAUGUCGACUGUUUAAUUUGCUGGUCCGUGACCGUAAUAAAGAUCAUCAGAGUCACUGAGAAUCAGGCAGCAUACAAGAG